rnacentral:lncRNA from 1 species
GGGAGCCAGAGGAGAGGAGGCAGCUGCCUGGCAUGAGGUGAGGCAGCCUGCCCAACACCCGGAGGUAUGCCCACACGGCUCCCCACCCCUGCGACCCAGCUCUGCCAUCUUCCUCCUUAUUUCUGUCUGCCCAAGGGUGUCUCCCCACCUGCCUGCUCCCUUUUCCCCUGAGAAGACCUCAGCUGCAGCCCCUGCCUCCUUGGCCACGCUGGCCUUGUCCACAGCCCCUUGUUCAGCAGCUUGGACGGCUGGAGCCAUCUCC